rnacentral:misc_RNA from 1 species
AUCUGAAAUAAUUGUUAUAAUUUACUAAUCAGCUACUCAUUGAUUGCAGUACCUAAUAUCAAAUUAAUAUUUAAAAUUUUUUUGGAAAACAUUCAAUAUAUUCUAAAGGCAGGCAUCAAUGAUGGUGUCCUCUGUUGAUAUUUUGUCUCCUUUUUGGUUGUUGGUUGAUUUUUGUAACAAGUUCUAACAAUUCAAUCAACAACAUGAUUGGUUCGCUGUGUACCAUGUUGAAUGGACAGAAGAGAAAAACUGCCGACAUCUGCCUUGAUUACCGAUGAACUGUCUUCCACCUACUUGUGUCCUCAUAUAUGCCUACUUCCAAAAUUAAUGAAAUCCCUGUUCACCAUAAUUUAUAGUCAGUUGGGGUACUAGCAUUGAUUGAAAAGAAAAGGAAAAAUGGGUCAAGUGUGCAACCACCCCUUCCCUAACCUAAGAUUCACCCUAACCUGUUGUCAGUUGACUGUUGUAUGGUUUAAGAGAGGGGUAAGUAUGCAGUUGUUCAGACGCUAAUGUUGGUAAGCAAAAAAUGUUAGUGGCUGUGAUAUGAUAAAAUGUUUAUUGACUGUAUGUGUCAGAUAAGGCUGGACGGGAAGAUAAUUUGUGCGUGUUCAUAGCAUGUAGACCCCAUUGCAUGUGGUUCAUACAUCAUAUUUUUCAGUCGAGCCAUUCUACUUGGUCAAUAAAUACAUGCUAUUAUAUAGAUGACAGCACCUGUGAGCAAUCUGAUACAAAUCCUGAGUUCUGAUUGAAGCGAAAUCAUUUUGCUAUAUAAUAAAUCCUUUAUUGACCAAGUUUGUUUGGUCAAGAUGGCUAGAUUUUAGCCUCAUUCUUCUUUGGCAUUUUUAUAGACCUCGACUUCAUCUUGGUCCAUAAAAAUGCAAAAAAAACGAACAUAGUCAAUAAUGCAUAUAUAUAUUUUAUUCACCCACCUGCUGGGUAAUGUAUUCAACUUAUAUGUUUGUUACUUCUAAAAGUCAAAGGGCUUUUGUUUCUCUCUCUUCUCUAGGAAAGUUUUCCAAGAAUCAUUGCACAUAUUCCAACUCUGGAAGUUCUUUCUGUCAGGGGCAACUUUAUUACUUAUUUACCAACAGAGCUUCUCAACUUACAGAGUCUAACACAUCUCGAUGUUCAAGAGAAUCCUUUAACAUCACCUCCACCAGAAAUCGUAGAACAAGGGUUACAAUCCAUUUUAGAUUAUUUAAAAAGGAGAAAAGGCAGGAAAAACUUAUUUUGCAACUUCAAACCAUGGUUUUGUGAGGACAAAAGCCCUGUUAUUUUUGAAGUGUCUACGUUAUUUGAACUCUCCAUCAAGUGUAUUCUUGACUGUCAUAUCGACUUUCUUAGUGCGGGUCACAUACCACCACGACUGAAAUCAAAUCUUGAAGAAGACAGAAAGCAGGAACAAAGCUCUAUUUUUAUAUGCAAGUGCAACGUGUGUAAGAAGUAUUUCUCCAAUAAGUUACAAUUUGAAAUCCACGACUGCUCGCCGGUUCAAUGGCAAGCGAUAUCACUCUCGAACUAGCUGGUUACGUUACCUUAGUUUCGUAAACAUAAAGUCAUUAUAUUGCGAAUAAAUUUCCAGGUAGAUAGGUGGGAAAUAAAAGAGGAGCCAUUUUGUUUAAUAGCAGAGCAGCUGUUUGACCCUAAAAGAUAUGACGGCACUGCCUAAAUUACAAUGAUAUCUAUCAGGGCAUGAAUAGCCUGCGAGAAGGCCCUUAUUAGCAGCGCGUCAGGGUGGGCAUUUCAUCACCUGCGAUAAUCUUUUAGCUUUGAGCAACGUGAGCUGGUGAGAGGUCUGUAAGUGCUCUGGCACUGAUGACAUAAAGUGCCAGACCCCCAGCAAACCACUACCUUACUCGACUUAACUCUUCCCGCAGGUGGAGAAACGCACUUACAGCGCUAAGGAAAAUAGGCCGCUCGCACGCUAGCCCAUGAAAAUUGUUUUGUCGUGAUACUGGGAGCCGCGCAAAAUACGCCAGAGAGAUUUGAAAACAGCUUUGUCAUUUCAGUUUCUGUAUAAUAUUUUACGCGGGAAAUUGGCGCGCGGCAACACAGAAGUCACACAUUGGGCAUGCACGAGAGGAUCCAUUUUACCCGGCAGCGCGCUCAAUCGUAAUGUGUUACGAAGCGCGAACAAACUUACAUAUCAACACCUUGUGUACUCAUGGCUCAAAGAUACUUAAUUAAAAAGUUGAAUAUUUUCUUUA